CUGGCGGCGUGCUUAACACAUAGCAAGUCGAACGCGAAAGGGACUUCGGUCCUGAGUAAAGUGGCGCACGGGUGAGUAACGCGUAGAUAACCUGUCUUCAUGUCUGGAAUAAUACGCCAAAGGGGUACUAAUACCGGAUAUUCUUGCUUUUCAUAAGUUAUGCAAGCAAAGGUGGCCUCUGCAUAUGCUACUGCAUGAAGAGGGGUCUGCGUACCAUUAGCUAGUAGGUGGGGUAAUGGCCUACCUAGGCGACGAUGGUUAGCGGGUCUGAGAGGAUGAUCCGCCACACUGGCACUGGAACACGGGCCAGACUCCUACGGGAGGCAGCAGUGAGGAAUAUUGCGCAAUGGGGGAAACCCUGACGCAGCGACGCCGCGUGAGUGAGGAAGGCCUUCGGGUCGUAAAGCUCUGUCAAGAGGAAAGAAGUGUACAAUGGCUAAUACCUGUUGUAUUUGACGGUACCUCUAAAGGAAGCACCGGCUAACUCCGUGCCAGCCGCGGC
rnacentral:rRNA from 1 species